UUAAAUUUUAUUUAUUAAUUUUUUUUAAAAAAAAUAAAUUAUUAAAAAUAAUUAUUAAUUGAAUUGUUUUAGUAUUUAUAAAAGAAAAAAUAAUAUUAAUUAUAGUUUAAUAGUAUUGUAAAAGAAAAUUGAAAUAAAUUGAAAAAUUUUUAUUAUAAAAGAAAAUUUAAUUUAUUGUACCUUGUGUAUCAGGGUUUAUUAAUUAAAUAUUAUUUAACAUAAUUUUCUCGAUUUUAAAAGAUUUAAUAUAUUAUAAAAGUUAAUGUAGUAAAAUUAUUUUUAAUAAUAUAUUAGAAAUGAAAUGUUAUUCGUUUUUAAAGGUAUCUAGUUCUUUAAGAAAUAAAUUCAAUUUAGAAAUUUUAUAUUAUUUAAUUAAAUAAAUUAAUUAAAUAGUUAUUUAAUUUUUAUAUUUUAUGGGAUAAGCUAUAAAAUAAAAAUUUAAAAAUUAUUAAUAAAUUAAUAAAUAUAAGCUUAGAAAUAGUUAUUAUUAAUAAAAUUGUUAUAAUUUAUUUUAUAUAAAUUAUUAUUUAUUAAAUUUUAAAUAUUUAUUAAAGUAUUUAUUUUAAUAAUAAAAAUAAAAUGAUAAUGAUAAAAUUAGUAUAUAAUAGUUGUGAAAAUAAUUAUUUGUGAAAAGUUUUUAUAAAGAAUUCGGCAAAAUUAAUAUUCGCCUGUUUAACAAAAACAUGUCUUUUUGAAUUAUUAAAAAGUCUGACCUGCCCACUGAAUUUUAAAUGGCCGCAGUAUUUUAACUGUGCAAAGGUAGCAUAAUCAUUAGUCUUUUAAUUGAAGGCUGGUAUGAAUGGUUGGACGAAAUAUUAACUGUUUCAUAAAAAUUUUUAUUAAAAUUUUAUUUUUUAGUUAAAAAGCUGAAAUUUAUUUAAAAGACGAGAAGACCCUAUAAAUCUUUAUAUUUAAAUUAUUAUUGUUUUGAAGAAAUUUUAUAUAAUAAUAUUUGAUAAUAUUAUAUUGGGGUGAUAUUAAAAUUUAAAAAACUUUUAAUUAUUUUAUCAUUAAUUUAUGCAUAAUUGAUCUAUUAUUAAUGAUUAAAAAAUUAAGUUACUUUAGGGAUAACAGCGUAAUUUUUUUGGAGAGUUCUUAUCAAUAAAAAAGAUUGCGACCUCGAUGUUGGAUUAAGAUAUAAUUUUAGGUGUAGUUGCUUAAAUUUUAAGUCUGUUCGACUUUUAAAUUCUUACAUGAUCUGAGUUCAAACCGGUGUAAGCCAGGUUGGUUUCUAUCUUUAAAAAUUUAAAAUAUUUCAGUACGAAAGGACCUAAUAUUUAAUAAAUUAUUAUUUUUAUAUAGAAUAUAAUUAAUAUAA
rnacentral:rRNA from 1 species